rnacentral:lncRNA from 1 species
UUCUCCCAAAAUUUUGGGUUUUCCCACCAAUUUUUGGGGUCAUUUCCCACAAUUUUGGGGUCGUUUCCCUGGAUUUUUAGUUUUCCUCCCAAUUUUUGGGGUCUUUUCCCAAAUUUUUUGCUUUUCCCUCAAUUUCUGGGGCAAUUUCCCACAAUUUUGGGUUGUCCACCAAUUUUUGGGGUCAUUUCCCAGGAUUUUGGGGUUUUUCCCAAAUUCCUGCAUUUCCCCCCAAAUCCGGGCCGGGGGGACCCCGAAUUUCCCCGAAUCCGCCCCAAAACGGCCCCGAAAUUCCCUUUUUUUGUUGUUUCUGUAUUUAUGGGGGGCUCCCCCUUUUUGGGGGGAAUUCUCCCGAUUUUGGGGCUCCCCC